rnacentral:rRNA from 1 species
GACGAACGCUGGCGGCGUGCUUAACACAUGCAAGUCGAACGAUGAACCCGGAGCUUGCUCCGGCGGAUUAGUGGCGAAUGGGUGAGUAACACGUGAGUAACCUGCCCUUGACUCUGGGAUAACUGCUAGAAAUGGUAGCUAAUACCGGAUACGACCCUCGGUGGCAUCACCAGGGGGUGGAAAGAAUUUCGGUCAAGGAUGGACUCGCGGCCUAUCAGCUAGUUGGUGAGGUAACGGCUCACCAAGGCGACGACGGGUAGCCGGCCUGAGAGGGUGACCGGCCACACGGGGACUGAGACACGGCCCAGACGCCUACGGGAGGCAGCAGUGGGGAAUAGUGCACAAUGGGCGAAAGCCUGAUGCAGCAACGCGGCGUGGGGGAUGACGGCCUUCGGGUUGUAAACCUCUUUUAGUAGGGAAGAAGCGAAAGUGACGGUACCUGCAGAAAAAGCACCGGCUAACUACGUGCCAGCAGCCGCGGUAA